rnacentral:tRNA from 1 species
GCCCCAAUAGCUCAGAUGGAUAGAGCGAACGCCUCCUAAGCGUUAGGCCAUCGGUUCGACUCCGGUUUGGGGCG